UAGAGAAGACCAGCAAGGGGGCCCACAGCAUCACAAAGACAUGCCCUCGCUGUGAGCAUUCCUGUAAAUGGAAAAGGGAGGACACUUGAAUCAGUAUCUUUGAUGAGGGGCCAGGAGCUUAACUACCCUGCCAUGCCCAUCAACGGGACGCUGGCAAAGACCUCACCUCCAGCCUCACCUCUUGCCUACUAACUAACAGUCUUCGAUGCGGAGACCAGAAUUAGAUGCAUCUAUGGAGCCAGCACUUGAGACUUGCAAAAUGAUGUGAUGGGAGUCCAGACUGACAGACAGGCUUGAUACUGACGUCUCUAAAUGGAGAGAGACCUGGCACUUGGCAUUAACAUUUUAGUAGACACACAUUUGUUUUGUUUUUUUUGUGGAUUUUUGUCUCCAUUUACCUUUGUUUCAUCUGGCUGUGAACACAUUGGAUAAUAGUGCAAUAUAACAUACAGAGUUUUUAAGGAGACGUACAAAACAGGUCUGUUGAAACUUUUGAGGCCUACUUGGAUAUACCUGGGCACCGUACUCUGCUCUGGGGCAUUAUCUGAG